ACGAACGCUGGCGGCAUGCCUAAUACAUGCAAGUCGAACGCUGAAGCACUCUGCUUGCAGAGUGCGGAUGAGUGGCGAACGGGUGAGUAACACGUGGGAAAUCUGCCUAGGAGUGGGGGAUAACAUUCGGAAACGGAUGCUAAUACCGCAUAUCUUUUUGAACCGCAUGGUUCUUAAACGAAAGACGGCUUCGGCUGUCGCUCUUAGAUGAGCCUGCGGCGUAUUAGCUAGUUGGUGAGGUAAUGGCUUACCAAGGCAACGAUGCGUAGCCGACCUGAGAGGAUGAACGGCCACAUUGGGACUGAGACACGGCCCAGACUCCUACGGGAGGCAGCAGUGGGGAAUCUUCCGCAAUGGACGAAAGUCUGACGGAGCAACGCCGCGUGAACGAUGACGGCCUUCGGGUUGUAAAGUUCUGUUAUACGGGACGAAUGGCGUAGCGGUCAAUACCCGUUACGAGUGACGGUACCGUAAGAGAAAGCCACGGCUAACUACGUG
rnacentral:rRNA from 1 species